rnacentral:lncRNA from 1 species
GUAUCUUCAGAUUUUCUUUGCUCUAAGGGAAAAUCCUAAAUUAUGCCAACAGUGUAAAGUAGACUUAGCUAUGAUAUCUGCCAUGAAGAGAAAAAAUCUUGGACUCACUGAGGAAAAAGAAUCAAGAGAAAAAUUUGGGCCGAUCAAAGUACAUACCCCCUUCCCCCUUCAAGACCUAAGGCAGAUAAAAACUGACUCUACUGGAAAGUUAGGAGAUAUGCCAGAUUGCCUGGGAUUGGAUCUAUCCAAAGGAGCUAAUCCUGUAAGUAAAAGGGAAACUGAGGAUUCCCAGCAGCUGCCAGAGCCAUUUUCGCUUUGGGGAAUUUCCUCAUUCUUCCCUGCACUGUAAGGAUUGCUCCAUCUCUGUCCACUUAAAAAGAAGGGACACUGAAUGCAGUAAAGUCAGUCACACUGAGACCCUUGAUUUUACACCUAUAGUUGCCCCUCUGUGAAAACAUCUGGUCCACUCAUGGGGAAAUCUAUGGUGCCACUGAUAGGAGUCAUAAUUAAAUGGAAGUUAAAAACCUGGAGAGAUUUUUCUCUUAUCUGGUCUCUCUAUUUUAAAGGUUAUUAUAGAUUGUUUCUUGGGGAUGAUCUUGGCUAAAUGUGUGUCUAAAAGAUGAUUUUUUUAUUGUAACAUCUGGUAUCUAAAUGAGUUUGAAGCAUUGCAUAAUCUUGCAGUUAAAAGUUGGGGUUAGGUAAUUGUUUAGUUUGUGAUUUCAGAUAAUUCAUGCUGGAGAACUUAAAUACUUAGGAUAGAAAAUUAAAAGAAUUCUACUUCCAAGUUGGCAAGUAACUCCCAAUCAUUUAGUUUUAUUUUGAACUGGGUAGCCUGAGAAGAUUUCACUAGGUGUACCAGUGCAUUAACUUGGGCAAGGAUAGUAAAUUAUGAUAUGGUAUCUGUUCCCCUCAGUGUGUAAGAUUUAGGAAAAAAAUGUUGAAUUGGAACGUUGGUCUGGCUUAUUGAAAUAACAUUGAAUAGCAACAGUCUUAAAUUUUUAAAGCUUAAUUUUGGAUAUACAUGGUAGUGUGUGGUUCUCUUUUAAGAUUUUUUUUUUCAGGUGAUUUAAUGUAACUUAAUACUACUUUAGAAACUUCAGAACAAAGGAAGUAGCUUAAUGAUCCUGAAGGAAUUUCUUCUGAUGGUGGCUUUUAUAUUAUCAAGAAAGAUCCUAUUUUCAGUUUUGUGUGAACAAGUUUUUUCUAGUGUAGGAAAAUGUAAAGGUAUGAAAUUUUGUAAACUGUAUCUUAAACUUGUAUCAUAAUUUUCAACAUCCAAACCUGAAAAUUGUGACUUAUGGUUAAAAUGCCUUAGGCAUGAGGUUUCUGCUCAGAAUUCCAGUUUUCCCAGUUCCUUCCAGACCUCAGCCAGGACUUAAGCUGAUAUGCAAAUAGAAGAAGCCUGGGGCUCAACAGAGGGCAGAUUUCAGGCCCAAGGAAAAAAAAAAGAGUUAAAGUAUCUUUUUACCUGAACUCAAACUAGACCCCAACCAAAAAGUAAAUUAUAUGGUAUUUACUAAUUACUGGCCAGUCAUCUUUUUUUAGGACUCUUGCUUUUUCUUAGAUUCUGUAUUUUUUUGAGCUCAUGAUUUUGAUCCUACAGACAAGUUAAUGUUUUUCUGAUAAGUUCUAUUUUUGAUCACCUGGAGUUUUUUUUUUUUUAAACAUUGCAAUGAGAUUUCACCUGAGAAAGCUACAAGGCCUUUACUAUUGUGUUGUGUUACACUUGUGUUAUGUGUUGUAUGUCGGUAUGUCUGUAUGUGUGUAUGUCCAUAUAUCAUGCAGUGAUAUGACAAUUGACAGAUGAGGAGCGCUCAUAAAAAAUUAAAAAAUGGAUCCAAAUAUCUUUGAUUCACGUGAUUCAAAUGGUUCAAUUUAAAUUGGGUAAACAGAUGAAAGUAAAGAUGUCUUUAAAAUUAAGCUUAUAAGUUUUUCUAGAUGUUCAAAAAGGCCCUAAUAAAAUGUUAAAUCUGCUUAAAUUCAAAAAUUUACAAGUAUUGUUUCAAAAUGUGAACAGAAGGAGGUUAACAGAUAAAAAAGAGAAACUAGAAGGUUCUAGAUAUGGAUUUAAGAGGAAAAAUGUGUUUCUGGAUAAGAGUCUAUAUGAUUAAGAGGGCUUAAGUAAAUGAUAUAAAAAAGGUCUGUGUAAGUUGCUUAUAAGUGUAAGUUUUUGAGCAAGUAAUCUUAAAGAAAUUAAACAGCUGGUUAAACAAGUGCUGUUGUUUUAGAGAAUUGUGCUGUGUUAUUUCUUUAAAAGCUAAACUUGGUUAAUAUAAAAACAUCAGUGUAAUUGGUGCUAUUAAUGUGUUCAUAUCUUCCAGGUAUACAAGUCUGUAAGGUAGAAGCUUCAAAGUUGUAUGGUAAUUUUAGGCUUAAAAAGAAACAUGUUAGAUUUAUUUAUCAUUUGUGUUCUAUAACUGGACUUGUUAUCAAUAAGAUGUAAAGUUCUAUGUUACUUUUUACACUGAGAUACAAUUUAAAUGAAUUUUUAAGUUAAUGAGAGCCUAAUCUGUGUGAAGGUUUUAUUGCAAAACACAAAAGUACUUUACUACUUUUCUACAAAAGGUUAAAAGCUUUCAGCUUUUCUUUAAUUCAUGUUUUAGGUGUGAUAUUAUAUUGUGUUAGCUAAUAUUCAUGUGAACUUGAGCAACAAUUUAUGUAGGCUUUGUAAAAUGAUGUUUAAAAAGCAAAGAUCAGUUUCAGAACUACAGUACUUAAGAUUUAUGAAGAGCCCUGCCUUACUUGAGAUAAGGCUCUGUCCCAUCUCACUACAUGUGAAAGUGACUAUGAAAGAAGUAGGCCAGAUUUCAGUACAGUUAAAGUUGUGUCCAAAAGUAGUUUUUUGCCAAGAUUACUAGGAUCUCAAACAGGGAAUUAUGAUGUAUAACCCUGCCAGAAUUCAAGGUAGCUAUUAUAUAAGCUAAAUAUGUUUUUACCCUAGUUAGUUUUGUGCUGUAGUUUGCUUAUAGAUGGUUUAAGGAUUGCCUGUUAAUGUUUUAAAGAGGUACUGCUUUAAGAACACAACCUGGGUCAACAUAAGAUAAGGAGUUAUCACCUACUGGAUAGAGAGAUAGACAUUAAAGCCCAGUGCUCUUUAAUAUAAGGCUGUUAACUUAUUUGCUGGAUGUUUAAGAUUAAGUUUUAAAAUUAAAGUUAAAUUAAAAGGGCCAAGAAAACCAAUAUUUGGCUCUUGCCCUCUAAGUCAGUCUGAAUCAGGGAAUAGGGGACUUCUCCAAAGGGCUCUGCAACUCUAGGCCACAUAACCUCCUGAGUAGGGAGAUUAAUGAGACCAGUGUAGGACAGAAAGCCAAUCAGUGCAUUUGCUGUGAAGAGGAGGGUCAUCAGAAAAGGGAGACAUCCCUGAUGCUUCCAAGGGAAGCCACAUGGUCAAGCAAGGCCUGGACCCAUCCUAGCGCAAUGGCACUAGCAGAACUGAGAAGNGGACUUGUUAUCAAUAAGAUAUGUAAAGUUCUAUGUUACUUUUUACACUGAGAUACAAUUUAAAUGUAUUUUUAAGUUAAUGAGAGCCUAAUCUGUGUGAAGGUUUUAUUGCAAAACACAAAAGUACUUUACUACUUUUCUACAAAAGGUUAAAAGCUUUCAGCUUUUCUUUAAUUCAUGUUUUAGGUGUGAUAUUAUAUUGUGUUAGCUAAUAUUCAUGUGAACUUGAGCAACAAUUUAUGUAGGCUUUGUAAAAUGAUGUUUAAAAAGCAAAGAUCAGUUUCAGAACUACAGUACUUAAGAUUUAUGAAGAGCCCUGCCUUACUUGAGAUAAGGCUCUGUCCCAUCUCACUACAUGUGAAAGUGACUAUGAAAGAAGUAGGCCAGAUUUCAGUACAGUUAAAGUUGUGUCCAAAAGUAGUUUUUUGCCAAGAUUACUAGGAUCUCAAACAGGGAAUUAUGAUGUAUAACCCUGCCAGAAUUCAAGGUAGCUAUUAUAUAAGCUAAAUAUGUUUUUACCCUAGUUAGUUUUGUGCUGUAGUUUG